rnacentral:rRNA from 1 species
GACGAACGCUGGCGGCGUGCUUAACACAUGCAAGUCGAGCGGUAAGGCCCUUUCGGGGGUACACGAGCGGCGAACGGGUGAGUAACACGUGGGUGACCUGCCCUCAGCUCUGGGAUAAGCCUGGGAAACCGGGUCUAAUACUGGAUAUGACUCCAUGACGCAUGUUGUGGGGUGGAAAGCCUUGUGCGGCUGAGGAUGGGCCCGCGGCCUAUCAGCUUGUUGGUGGGGUGANGGCCUACCAAGGCGACGACGGGUAGCCGGCCUGAGAGGGCGACCGGCCACACUGGGACUGAGACACGGCCCAGACUCCUACGGGAGGCAGCAGUGGGGAAUCUUGCGCAAUGGGCGAAAGACCUGACGCAGCGACGCCGCGUGAGGGAUGACGGCC